rnacentral:lncRNA from 1 species
CGCUGAGAGCCCAGCCAGGAGAGAAGAGCUCAGCUUCUGAUUGGUGGGCACGACAGGGAGGGGUGCGGCCUAGCGCGGGGGCGGGCGGGCGUCGACGGCUUUUUGCCCAGAGCCGGCAAGCAUCCAAGGAGCCGAGCCGGCUGGGUUCAGCGGCUGCGCAGAGGUGGGAAUCUGCCUCUACGUACUCCCCGGGACAGCUCUACUUACAGGGAGAGCCCUUCAUUGCCCCUGGUGCAGGAGCUGGAGAGGGAAAAGAGGAGUUUCAGCGAUGCGGAAAGAGAGGUCUCUGGCCCCUGGCCCAGCCCUAAAGCUUCCGAAGAGCAGGUAGCCAAGAGGCCCACUGACAUCCAAAGAAUAGGCCAAAACAGGAUGCAAACAAACUGGAAGAUGCAACAUCCCAGAGACAAUAGGGAGCCAAGGGAAGAAAAUAAGUGGAAGUCACAGGGAAGCGCAGCGACAGACAAGAUCCAUGUAUCUGAGGCAGAAGGGAGCCCCAGGAAGAAAAUUCCUGGAAACUACCGGGAAGCUCAGUGGUGGAAAGGGCACCUACAUUACCUCCACCAUCUAGAACCUCCAGCUGACUGCUCCAGCUACACUCCUGCCUCUUAUUUCAGGAAUAGCACCCAUCUCCCAGGAUGAUCACUGCUUGUUCCUCCCACCUCCCCUGCCAAUGAGUUUGAUGAAGGGCAGCUUCAGCAGGGAAAUAGACAGAGCCACUGGUCUGGAGUCAGGAAGACCUGAGUUCAAAUGCUAACUAUGACCCUGGGCAAGUCACUUCACCCUGCUUACCUCAGCAUCCUCAUCUGUCAAAUGAGAUGGAGAAGGAAAUGACCAACCAGUCCAGUAUCUUUGCCAAGGAAACCCCCAAUGAGAUGCUCCUGGAAAGGCAGGAUUUUUUCAUUCUGGAUCUCCUUAUCUCCAGUACUUAGGACAGCGCUUGGGCCUUAUAGACCCUUGGUGUUGGAGGGACAAGCAGGGCCUGUGCUAUGUUGGGACUCUGUCAUUACGUGGAUCGAUGGGGUUAAACACAUUUCCCAUCACUUAGGCUGCCCAGCUCACGAGCAAAAUGGCAUUCCCAAGACGAGGGCCAUUCAGAGCAACUUGAGAGAUGUGGCGUUGUUACUGGAGCUUCCUGAAGAGAAGGGCUGUCUUGGCUUUCACAUUUGUAUCUCAGGUUCUAUUCCUAGUGCUUAUUAAGUGCUUGGGAACCUGGGUGCCUGGAAGGAUCUGGGAACCCUGAAUAGAAACAGGGAAGUUAGGAGGAGGCAUGUGCUUAAUGGGGUUCCCUUCCCUUCCCCUUCCCUUCCUUUCUUCCCCUCCCUUCCCUUUUUCCCUUCCCUUCCCCUUUCCCUUCCCUUCUUUGUUUUAGCCAUGUUAGGUUUGAGAUGAGAACCAAUACACAAUAUUGAUUCCAAGAUGUAAGGUAAGGGGUUUAAAAAAAAAAAGUACCAGAAGAGGACCCAAACCAGAGAGAAGAGAAGAGAAAGGUGGUCAAGAGGGCCAAAUGGAGCCCAGAGGUUAAGGAUGAGCACAGAUUUGGCUUUCAGAGACCUUUUGUUCACUGUGGAGAUCAAGGACAAAUACAGAGGGGUUAGGGACAUCUCCUUAUCAGAGGCUUGAAGACAGAGACAGAGACAGACAGAUGGAGAGAGACAGUGAGUCGGAGAGACAGACAGAAAGACAGAUUGAGACAGAGAAUAUAUGGAAAAAAAAAGAGUAAAGAGGAUGGGACUGAAGUGUGUCAUUUCAUUGGUAGAAAGGAAUCCUAACUGCAGAAGCUAUGCCCCUUCCACCUCCCCCCAGGUUGGCAUCUUCUUAACAAUUUGUCUCUGAGAAUUACCUCCUGUCCUGAGAGAUCGAGUGACUUGCCCCCAGGGUUGCACAGACAUAUAUAUAUAGGAAAGACAGGACUUGAACCCAGAACUUCCUGACUUAAAGGCUGGCUCAGUCCACUAUACCACACUGAGGAGGCAGGAUAGAUUUUUAAUACCACUAAAGUAAAUUGGAAUAUAAACUUGUGGAGGGCAGGAAGGGACUAUGUUGCAUUUUGGUCUUUAUUUCCCCAAGUCCGGCACUGUAGUGGAUUCCCCCCUCCCUCAGUAUCUUCAAACACAAGAUCUGGAUGGCCCCUUAUUAGGGAUUUUCUAGAGAAUGCUUUUUCUGAUGUACUAGAUGGCCUCAAGGGGCCUUUCUGUCUCAGAGACUCUGAAAUUCUGUGAAAUAAAUCAUCUCCAAAGCCCCA